CCUACGGGAGGCUGCAGUGAGGAAUAUUGGUCAAUGGCCGGAAGGCUGAACCAGCCAUGCCGCGUGAAGGUCAGUGCCCUAUGGGCGUUAAACUUCUUUUGUGCGGGAGCAAUAAUGGUCACGUGUGGCCAGACGAGAGUACCGUACGAAUAAGCAUCGGCUAACUCCGUGCCAGCAGCCGCGGUAAUACGGGGGAUGCAAGCGUUAUCCGGAUUUAUUGGGUUUAAAGGGUGCGUAGGCUGUGAGGUAAGUCAGCGGUGAAAUGCCCCCGCUCAACGGGGUGAAGUGCCAUUGAUACUGGCUGGCUGGAAUGCGGAUGCGGUGGGAGGAAUGUGUGGUGUAGCGGUGAAAUGCAUAGAGAUCACACAGAACACCGAUUGCGAAGGCAUCUCACGAAUCCGCGAUUGACGCUGAUGCACGAAAGCGUGGGUAUCAAACAGGAUUAGAUACCCGGGUAGUC
rnacentral:rRNA from 1 species